rnacentral:rRNA from 1 species
UACGAAGGGGGCUAGCGUUGUUCGGAUUAACUGGGCGUAAAGGGUGCGUAGGCGGGGUUUUAAGUCAGGGGUGAAAUGCCGAGGCUCAACUUCGGAACUGCCUUUGAUACUGGAACUCUUGAGUCUGGGAGAGGUGAGUGGAAUUCCGAGUGUAGAGGUGAAAUUCGUAGAUAUUCGGAGGAACACCAGUGGCGAAGGCGGCUUUCUGGUCUGUAACUGACGCUGGAGGCGCGAAAGCGUGGGGAGCAAACAGG